GACAGAGGAUGCAAGCGUUAUCCGGAAUGAUUGGGCGUAAAGCGUCUGUAGGUGGCUUUUUAAGUCCGCCGUCAAAUCCCCGGGCUCAACCUGGGAAUUGCGAUGGAGACUGCAAGGCUAGAAUCUGGCAGAGGGGGUAGAAUUCCACGUGUAGCAGUGAAAUGCGUAGAGAUGUGGAGGAACACCGAUGGCGAAGGCAGCCCCCUGGGUCAAGAUUGACGCUCAUGCACGAAAGCGUGGGGAGCAAACAGG
rnacentral:rRNA from 1 species